AGCGAACGCUGGCGGCAGGCCUAACACAUGCAAGUCGAACGAACUCUUCGGAGUUAGUGGCGGACGGGUGAGUAACACGUGCGAACGUGCCUUUAGGUUCGGAAUAACUCAGGGAAACUUGUGCUAAUACCGAAUGUGCCCUUCGGGGGAAAGAUUUAUCGCCUUUAGAGCGGCCCGCGUCUGAUUAGCUAGUUGGUGAGGUAAAGGCUCACCAAGGCGACGAUCAGUAGCUGGUCUGAGAGGAUGAUCAGCCACAUUGGGACUGAGACACGGCCCAAACUCCUACGGGAGGCAGCAGUGGGGAAUCUUGCGCAAUGGGCGAAAGCCUGACGCAGCCAUGCCGCGUGAAUGAUGAAGGUCUUAGGAUUGUAAAAUUCUUUCACCGGGGACGAUAAUGACGGUACCCGGAGAAGAAGCCCCGGCUAACUUCGUG
rnacentral:rRNA from 1 species